rnacentral:rRNA from 1 species
GACGAACGCUGGCGGCGUGCCUAACACAUGCAAGUCGAGCGAGUGAAUCUCCUUCGGGAGUGAAACUAGCGGCGGACGGGUGAGUAACCAGUGGGCGACCUGCCUCAUAGAGGGGAAGAGCCUUUCGAACGGAAGCUUAAUACCGCAUAAGCUUGUAGACUCGCAGGAAGUAGCAACUAAAGGAGUAAUCCGCUAGGAGAUGGGCCCGCGGUGGAUUAGCUAGUUGGUGAGGUAACGGUUCACAAAGGCGACGCAGCGUAGCCGCACUGAUCGGGUGAGCAGCCACGUUGGGACUGAGACACGGCCCAGACUCCUACGGGAGGCAACAGUGGGGAAUAUUGCACAAUUGGGGAAACCCUGAUGCAGCAACUCCGCGUGAGUUAUGACGGCCUUCGGGUUGUAAAGCUCUGUCUUCAGGGACGAUAAUGACGGUACCUGAGGAGGAAGCCACGGCUAACUACGUGCCAGCAGCCGCGGUAAGAC